rnacentral:tRNA from 1 species
AUUUAAAUAAUUUAUAUAAAAUAUUGAUUUGUGGAGUCAAAAAUGUGAGAUUUCACUUUAAAUU